AAGGCUGUACUUGUAUUAACAUAUAUGUUCAGAUCAUUCCUGAGAGAGAAGGGGUGUAGUAUCUCCAGAUGAGUGUGUGGUACCCUUCCUCACCAUGCCAACAAGAUGUUACUUCUUGUGGGGUCUUUGCCUUGAAAUUUGCUGAAUGUGUUCUGAAGGAGGAGUCGAUUGUCUUUUCAAAUACGGA